rnacentral:rRNA from 1 species
CAGCAGCCGCGGUAAUACGUAGGUGGCAAGCGUUGUCCGGAAUUAUUGGGCGUAAAGGGCUCGCAGGCGGUUUCUUAAGUCUGAUGUGAAAGCCCCCGGCUCAACCGGGGAGGGUCAUUGGAAACUGGGAAACUUGAGUGCAGAAGAGGAGAGUGGAAUUCCACGUGUAGCGGUGAAAUGCGUAGAGAUGUGGAGGAACACCAGUGGCGAAGGCGACUCCCUGGUCUGUAACUGACGCUGAGGAGCGAAAGCGUGGGGAGCGAACAGGAUUAGAUACCCCAGUAGUCCCUGUCCCUUAUAC